ACCACACUGUGACCUCUCUACACAUCAGCUGUCCUCGCACUGUCUCCUCCCAGCCACCUUCCCCGUCGCUGCACCUCAGCUCCUGACUCACCCCCUCCAAUGCUAGACAACCAACGUUUAGCCCGCGUAUACGAUACCUCCACAUAUGGAAAUGAAAUGACCUAGAAACUAGAUGACUUCACGAUGGAAGAGCAAGAUUUUCCUUGUCCUCCUCUUGUGGACUAACUGUACCUAAUGAUGGUUGGAAGAAACAAAACAUGUUAUUGUUUUGAGUUGCACUGCAGAUUUAUAACUAAGGGAAAGUCUCUUGAAAAGCCAAUAGGAUACAGAGCUACAUAACACACCCCCGUAUGUCACAAGAGCUCAGUUUGCAAACAACUUGCAAGGAUAUGUCAGCACUACAAAUACUGCAGUUUUUCAUUGUGAAAAAUAUCA